GAAUGAAGAUGAUGAUGCUGAUG
rnacentral:siRNA from 1 species